UACGGAGGGGGCUAGCGUUAUUCGGAAUUACUGGGCGUAAAGCGUACGUAGGCGGCUUUGUAAGUUAGAGGUGAAAGCCCGGAGCUCAACUUCGGAACUGCCUUUAAGACUGCAUCGCUUGAAUCCAGGAGAGGUGAGUGGAAUUCCGAGUGUAGAGGUGAAAUUCGUAGAUAUUAGGAAGAACACCAGUGGCGAAGGCGGCUCACUGGCCCGGCACUGACGCUGAGGCGCGAAAGCGUGGGGAGCAAACAGG
rnacentral:rRNA from 1 species